UUGUGAAUGAAGUGGAACGCAUCUCCCCGAAAAAAUGCGAAAACCUCGAUUAUGGGAAGACUUACCUCCACGGAUUGACCAAAAUGCGUAUCAAUCAGAAGCUCUUUGAUUUUUCUCUGGACGUAGAUGGUGAGCUCAUCUACGUGCAUAAACUUGCACUCGCGAUUGCCUCUGAUUACUUCGCCGCGAUGUUUGAAGCUGAUAUGAAGGAGAGGAAGGAAGGGACUGUCA